rnacentral:tRNA from 1 species
GGAGAGGUGCCUGAGUGGUUGAAAGGGACAGUCUUGAAAACUGUUAAGGGCGCAAGCUCUUCGCGAGUUCGAAUCUCGCCCUCUCCG